UGUGACAAUUUUGCGAUAGCUAGGGCUGACGAAUAUUCAUCGAUAUUUUUCCUUGGCACACUAAAUCACCUGCAGUCUCUAACACAUAAAAGUUAAACAAACCCGUAAACAAAAACAAUGACUCGGAAAUGUAACGUUUUAGAUGUAAUGGCAAUGCGCAACAUUAUAUUACCCAUUCUCAUGGGUAAGACAGCAACUUCAGCCGCCCUACCUGUGAACAUUUAAACACGCAUGCCAGACAUUCUUCUGCCUUUUAUUAUUGAGAAUUAGCCGCGACUUUUAUCAAGGACGCGGCACCCUGACAAUAAACGCUCUCGGGAUGCCCUAGGAUGCCCAUCUGAAGGAUACCCUCGGAGGAUCCCCAAGAUGUAAUCUAUAACGAUCUUGGACACAGGCCUUGUUGCAGCUAAUCACACGCACAAGGUGGAUACACUAGAUGGAUAGCGCAAAGAUUAUAGAUGUGCUGAAUGAUCCUAGAUAGAUGUGCCAUGCCUUUCCUUAAAAUGUUUUCUGCUUCCCUACUACUGGCAGGUAUGUAUGUCCGGAUCCGAUGGUGUGUUUGUGGUUUCCCCCAAGAGGCAUUUCUGUCCACUCGAAAUGUAAUUUCUGGGGAUUUUUAUUCUCCACGGAUAACGAAUAAUAAAUAAAACACUGUAUUUAUAAUAAUUAUAGUAACAAACCAAAUAUCCCACUUGCAGUUCCCGGUGCUUCAACUGCCUAGUUCCGCAAUUGACCCCAGAUUUGUCUGGCUGUAACCCACAGUGAUCCGAGAUGAACUCUUCGGAUCGGAUGUCCACUUGGUAGUUGCGAUCUGAUCCAAACCAAUUUUUGGGUUACAUAUGUUUAGCAAAAGGUUGUAGAUCGGCCAAUCGUAUACUUAACGAGACUGCGUAGAACUUAUUUAUUUAAAUACACAUUCGAUUGGCAAAGCAA